ACCAAGAGUAUAGUAAUGUGCUUUAUUAUAAAAGCUGCAAAAUAUUCACAAAACUGUUACUCAGAGUUUCAAGUUCCCGUUCACUGGACAAUUUUGUU